rnacentral:misc_RNA from 1 species
GAAAUGCGAUAAUUAAUGUGAAUUGCAGAAUUCAGUGAAUCAUCGAGUCUUUGAACGCACAUUGCGCCCCCUGGUAUUCCGGGGGGCAUGCCUGUCCGAGCGUCAUUGCUGCCCUCAAGCACGGCUUGUGUGUGGGGCUUCCGUCCCUGGCAACGGGGACGGGCCCAAAAGGCAGUGGCGGCACCAUGUCUGGUCCUCGAGCGUAUGGGGCUUUGUCACCCGCUCCCGUAGGUCCAGCUGGCAGCUAGCCUCGCAACCAAUCUUUUUAACCAGGUUGACCUCGGAUCAGGUAGGGAUACCCGCUGAACUUAAGC